AUGGAGACAGAGUCUUGGGGAAGCCCUGCUGUGGCUGAGCUUGGCUUCUCAGGAAAAGGGCUGUUCUUUCUCUGGAGGUGGACAUACACAAGUUAUUCUUCAAAUAAUAUUUCUGUUGUAGUAUAUAAUGUUCUCUUUUUAAAAACGAUGAGGAAACUGAGAUCCAAGCAGUUACCUGACCUGUCCAAGUGAUCACACUAGCAUGUGGAAGAGGCAAAUUAAAACCUAGGAGGAGCAGCGUGUGAAGACUUCUCCUGGAGGAAGGGGUAGAUGAGAAUCAUUUGUUCCAGUGGCCAUGAAGGUGGUGGAAACAGGCACUGUGGAAUGCUUGGAGCAUGGUUAAUCAUUGAAGACACCGAGGACAUUCCAAUGAAUCCUGGGACAGCUCUAGUUUUUGUCUUGCCACUGGACUUCGAUGACUGAAAGAAAGAGUGAAAUCGAUGAUUUUGUGCACUUUUGCCUCACUUAAAUCCAGUUCGCCAGUGAUGACAAUGAUCUUCUUCAAAAACAAAGCUCAAACAAGAACAAAAUAAU
rnacentral:lncRNA from 1 species